AUAGCUGGUUCUCUCCGAAAUAGCUUUAGGGCUAGCCUCAAGUGAUGAUUAUUGGAGGUAGAGCACUGUUUGGACGAGGGGCCCCUCUCGGGUUACCGAAUUCAGACAAACUCCGAAUGCCAAUUAAUUUAACUUGGGAGUCAGAACAUGGGUGAUAAGGUCCGUGUUCGAAAGGGAAACAGCCCAGACCACCAGCUAAGGUCCCAAAAUAUAUGUUAAGUGGAAAAGGAUGUGGCGUUGCCCAGACAACUAGGAUGUUGGCUUAGAAGCAGCCAUCAUUUAAAGAGUGCGUAAUAGCUCACUAGUCGAGUGACACUGCGCCGAAAAUGUACCGGGGCUAAACAUAUUACCGAAGCUGUGGAUUGUCCUUUGGACAAUGGUAGGAGAGCGUUCUAAGGGCGUUGAAGCAUGAUCGUAAGGACAUGUGGAGCGCUUAGAAGUGAGAAUGCCGGUGUGAGUAGCGAAAGACGGGUGAGAAUCCCGUCCACCGAUUGACUAAGGUUUCCAGAGGAAGGCUCGUCCGCUCUGGGUUAGUCGGGUCCUAAGCUGAGGCCGACAGGCGUAGGCGAUGGAUAACAGGUUGAUAUUCCUGUACCACCUAUAAUCGUUUUAAUCGAUGGGGGGACGCAGUAGGAUAGGCGAAGCGUGCGAUUGGAUUGCACGUCUAAGCAGUAAGGCUGAGUAUUAGGCAAAUCCGGUACUCGUUAAGGCUGAGCUGUGAUGGGGAGAAGACAUUGAGUCUUCGAGUCGUUGAUUUCACACUGCCGAGAAAAGCCUCUAGAUAGAAAAUAGGUGCCCGUACCGCAAACCGACACAGGUAGUCAAGAUGAGAAUUCUAAGGUGAGCGAGCGAACUCUCGUUAAGGAACUCGGCAAAAUGACCCCGUAACUCGGGAGAAGGGGUGCUCUUUAGGGUUAACGCCCAGAAGAGCCGCAGUGAAUAGGCCCAAGCGACUGUUUAUCAAAAACACAGGUCUCUGCUAAACCGUAAGGUGAUGUAUAGGGGCUGACGCCUGCCCGGUGCUGGAAGGUUAAGAGGAGUGGUUAGCUUCUGCGAAGCUACGAAUCGAAGCCCCAGUAAACGGCGGCCGUAACUAUAACGGUCCUAAGGUAGCGAAAUUCCUUGUCGGGUAAGUUCCGACCCGCACGAAAGGCGUAACGAUUUGGGCACUGUCUCAACGAGAGACUCGGUGAAAUCAUAGUACCUGUGAAGAUGCAGGUUACCCGCGACAGGACGGAAAGACCCCGUGGAGCUUUACUGUAGCCUGAUAUUGAAAUUCGGCACAGCUUGUACAGGAUAGGUAGGAGCCUUUGAAACGUGAGCGCUAGCUUACGUGGAGGCGCUGGUGGGAUACUACCCUAGCUGUGUUGGCUUUCUAACCCGCACCACUUAUCGUGGUGGGAGACAGUGUCAGGCGGGCAGUUUGACUGGGGCGGUCGCCUCCUAAAAGGUAACGGAGGCGCUCAAAGGUUCCCUCAGAAUGGUUGGAAAUCAUUCAUAGAGUGUAAAGGCAUAAGGGAGCUUGACUGCGAGACCUACAAGUCGAGCAGGGUCGAAAGACGGACUUAGUGAUCCGGUGGUUCCGCAUGGAAGGGCCAUCGCUCAACGGAUAAAAGCUACCCCGGGGAUAACAGGCUUAUCUCCCCCAAGAGUUCACAUCGACGGGGAGGUUUGGCACCUCGAUGUCGGCUCAUCGCAUCCUGGGGCUGUAGUCGGUCCCAAGGGUUGGGCUGUUCGCCCAUUAAAGCGGUACGCGAGCUGGGUUCAGAACGUCGUGAGACAGUUCGGUCCCUAUCCGUCGUGGGCGUAGGAAAUUUGAGAGGAGCUGUCCUUAGUACGAGAGGACCGGGAUGGACAUACCUCUGGUGUACCAGUUGUCGUGCCAACGGCAUAGCUGGGUAGCUAUGUGUGGACGGGAUAAGUGCUGAAAGCAUCUAAGCAUGAAGCCCCCCUCAAGAUGAGAUUUCCCAACUUCGGUUAUAAGAUCCCUCAAAGAUGAUGAGGUUAAUAGAUUCGAGGUGGAAGCAUGGUGACAUGUGGAGCUGACGAAUACUAAUCGAUCGAAGACUUAAUCAAAA
rnacentral:rRNA from 1 species